rnacentral:rRNA from 1 species
UGCAUAUCAAAAGCGGAGGAAAAGAAACCAACAGGGAUUGCCUCAGUAACGGCGAGUGAAGCGGCAAAAGCUCAAAUUUGAAAUCCCCCGGGAAUUGUAAUUUGAAGAGAUUUGGGUCCGGCCGGCAGGGGUUAAGUCCACUGGAAAGUGGCGCCACAGAGGGUGACAGCCCCGUGAACCCCUUCAAMGCCYUCAUCCCAGAUCUCCAAGAGUCGAGUUGUUUGGGAAUGCAGCUCUAAGUGGGUGGUAAAUUCCAUCUAAAGCUAAAUACCGGCGAGAGACCGAUAGCGAACAAGUACAGUGAUGGAAAGAUGAAAAGCACUUUGAAAAGAGAGUGAAAAAGUACGUGAAAUUGUUGAAAGGGAAGGGCUUGCAAGCAGACACUUAACUGGGCCAGCAUCGGGGCGGCGGGGAGCAAAACCACCGGGGAAUGUACCUUUCGAGGAUUAUAACCCCGGCCCUUACUCCCAUACCACCCCGAGGCCUGCAAUCUAAGGAUGCUGGCGUAAUGGUUGCAAGUCGCCCGUCUUGACCCACGGACC